CCUACGGGGGGCAGCAGUGGGGAAUCUUGCGCAAUGGGCGAAAGCCUGACGCAGCGAUGCCGCGUGCGGGAUGAAGGCCUUCGGGUCGUAAACCGCUUUCAGCAGGGACGAGGCCGCAAGGUGACGGUACCUGCAGAAGAAGCCCCGGCUAACUACGUGCCAGCAGCCGCGGUAAUACGUAGGGGGCGAGCGUUAUCCGGAUUCAUUGGGCGUAAAGCGCGCGUAGGCGGCCUGUUAGGUCAGGAGUUAAAUCCGGGGGCUCAACCCCCGUCCGCUCCUGAUACCGGCAGGCUUGAGUCUGGUAGGGGAAGGCGGAAUUCCAAGUGUAGCGGUGGAAUGCGCAGAUAUUUGGAAGAACACCGGUGGCGAAGGCGGCCUUCUGGGCCACGACUGACGCUGAGGCGCGAAAGCUAGGGGAGCGAACAGGAUUAGAUACCCGAGUAGUC
rnacentral:rRNA from 1 species